ensembl:snoRNA
AAAGCAGGUCUGCAAUUACAGUACUCCAAUCAGUGGGUGUGCUGUCAUUAAUCCUGCUGAGAGUAACAUUCUGCUUUGGAGUGCACACCU